rnacentral:tRNA from 1 species
GCCGGCGUAGGCCAACUUGGUAGAGUCGCAACCCUUAGAAGGUUGACAGUGUGGGUUCGAAUCCCACCGCCGGCA